GACGAACGCUGGCGGCGUGCUUAACACAUGCAAGUCGAACGGAAAGGCCCUGCUUUUGUGGGGUGCUCGAGUGGCGAACGGGUGAGUAACACGUGAGUAACCUGCCCUUGACUUUGGGAUAACUUCAGGAAACUGGGGCUAAUACCGGAUAGGAGCUCCUGCUGCAUGGUGGGGGUUGGAAAGUUUCGGCGGUUGGGGAUGGACUCGCGGCUUAUCAGCUUGUUGGUGGGGUAGUGGCUUACCAAGGCUUUGACGGGUAGCCGGCCUGAGAGGGUGACCGGCAACAUUGGGACUGGGAUACGGCCCAGAAUCCUACGGGAGGCAGCAGUGGCGAAUAUUGCACAAUGGGCGGAAGCCUGAUGCAGAAACGCCGCGUGCGGGAUGACGGCCUUCGGGUUGUAAACCGCUUUCGCCUGUGACGAAGCGUGAGUGACGGUAAUGGGUAAAGAAGCACCGGCUAACUACGUG
rnacentral:rRNA from 1 species